rnacentral:sRNA from 1 species
UAGAGGAGGAAACAAAAUGAACGAAGUUCAUUUUUAUAAAUGUUUCCGACGAACUGCCGCCGACCAAGGGGAGGGGGCGCAACAAUAU